rnacentral:lncRNA from 1 species
UAAUGAUUUAAAGCUGGGCUGGAGAGUUGCAGGCUGCAUGUGGGUCCUAGCAGUGAAAUGAGAGGUAAUGUGGAGGCUGAGCUGAGAGGCAGAGAUUGCUCUAAUGAAAGGCGUCACGGUGACACUGCAUGAACUUAAUAUUUAGCCAGUGACGUCUGCACUCCACAAGAACCCAAGGGAGGCAAUUAGGAGAGCUGGGGAAGGAGGGAAUAAUUUUACCUGUCAGACAAACCCUUCACCCUAUUUCAGUGCUUCUUUGAGGCACAUCUAUGUUCCUGGCUGUGGAAGGAGCCAGUGGGGACAGGACCUUGGACAUAAACAAGGUUUCAAGCAGCCUGAACCAUCUGAGGUCCCUCCCUGAUUGUUUUUAGGACAAACCCCUACUGCAGGCACUGGAAAGAAUUUCAAAUAAGUGGCCAAAUAUCUCAGGAACUUGGUUCUGGUGCCCUGGAUCAACCAGCAGUGAUGGAUGGGAAAUAGAGAUGUUUGUAGGAAGUCUUCUGACUUGAAACAAAACCCUCAAACCACUCCAAAAUAACUUAUCAAGUUCUCUCCAUGCCUUCUGGUGGACCUUAUGGAUUUUCAGAUGCUGGUGAUGUAUAAAAGUGAAAAUGGUCACUGCAGAGUUUGGAAGGCCUGGAGAGCCAUGGGUAGAGCCACGAGGCUGGGAGCCCACUGGUAUGUGUGUGGAGGGGAGCAGAGACAGAAAGGAAGUAAUAUUGAGUCACAGCAGUCAAGAAGGAUCAAAGAUUGGCUAUUUUUGACACACAAAAGGAGCAUCCAUUUCACUGCUCCAAGCAGCAGAGAAGCUGUGGCACAUCUUAAUGCUACUGGGAAAAAUCAGCUCGUGAAGGUGUUGGCUUUCCUUCUGCUGCCAUGAUUGCUUUUAUUCCCAGAGGAAAGUCAUCCAAGUAGAAGAAGAGAAGCCUCAAAGCUUAAAGUGGAGCUGCUGAGAUAUUUGCUCUAUGUUUUGGGCUUUUUACAAAGUGGUCUGGAUCAAGGCUGGAAAUUGUGAUUGUUGUGUAAAAGCCUGAGAUUUCAGGGCAGUGCUGGUUUCUGGGCAUAUACUUGGGAGUGAGAAAUGCUAAGACUGUGCUUGCUGAACUUGAACCUCUUUUCAUUGGCAACAGAAAAUUUUGUCAGGUUGUUCCUCUCCACCUCAUGUGAAGACCAUCUACCUAUUAUAAUCACUUAAUAAAUAAACUUGCUCCCUAUCUCUGCUUGCCUGG